UAGAUGUACAAUAAGACUUCUAAUCUUUAAAUAGUGGCACCACUACAUCUUU
rnacentral:tRNA from 1 species